rnacentral:tRNA from 1 species
GCCUCCAUAGCUCAGUUGGCUAGAGCAUCUGUUUUGUAAACAGAGGGUCGCAGGUUCAAAUCCUGCUGGAGGCU